GGCCUAUGCCAUUCCUGCAGCAUAUUCUAGUGAUGGUUCCCAGUUGGCAGGAUACUACGCUGCCUCUCAACCGACUGACGCUGCUCAGCCUAUCCCCACAGCAGAAUGGGUUGUUGCUCCUCCUUCCUUUGAGGAACCCGCAGCUGAUGCUGAGGUUGUCGGUGCCCUUCUCCCUCCUCCACAGCCUCUAGGACCUACCCUUCAGUCUGGGGAGACUGCCAACAUAGUAAAGGAAGCUGAACUUGGGCAUUACCAGCGGGAGACGGAGGAAUCGGGCUACCCAGCUGCCCCCACAAACCCUGGCUUUGGUGGCUUGUUGCCCUACCCUCUUGUUCCUCUUUAUGGCCUUCCCUACCCUUACCCUGCUUUUGACUACAGGCUCCUGUUUGGCCAAUAUCCUCCUGGCACCUACACUACCUUCAGUAGAAAUCAUGAGAGGGGCAGAGACUAUUCUAAGGAAAUUCACUAUCUAAAGGAACAUGUGUCUGAUGCUCCACAAACCCCCCAGAAUCCUGGACUUGGACAGCAAAAGUUCUUCCCAAGGUCACCCUAGAGCCCUGAAUGGAGGCUAAGAUGAAGUGCCCCAGUCUUGGAAGAAUCUCUUGGUAUUCUUAAAAUAAAGUAUUUUAAACAUGAC